CCUACGGGGUGCAGCAGUGGGGAAUAUUGGGCAAUGGAGGCAACUCUGACCCAGCAACGCCGCGUGAAUGAUGAAGGUCUUCGGAUUGUAAAGUUCUGUGAUGGGGGAUGAACACAAUGACGGUACCCCAAUAGCAAGCCACGGCUAACUACGUGCCAGCAGCCGCGGUAAUACGUAGGUGGCAAGCGUUAUCCGGAAUGACUGGGCGUAAAGGGUGCGUAGGUGGUUUAGUAAGUUGGCGGUGUAAUUCCGGGGCUCAACCUCGGCGCUACCGCCAAAACUAUUAGACUAGAGUGCAGGAGGGGUAAGUGGAAUUCCUAGUGUAGCGGUGGAAUCCGUAGAUAUCUGGAGGAACAUCAGUGGCGAAGGCGACUAUCUGGCACAUAACUGACGCUGAGGAGCGAAAGCGUGGGUAGCAAACAGGAUUAGAUACCCCAGUAGUC
rnacentral:rRNA from 1 species